rnacentral:rRNA from 1 species
GACGAACGCUGGCGGCGUGCCUAACACAUGCAAGUCGAGCGAAUGAAGUUCCUUCGGGAACGGAUUUAGCGGCGGACGGGUGAGUAACACGUGGGCAACCUGCCUCAUAGAGGGGAAUAGCCUUCCGAAAGGGAGAUUAAUACCGUAUAAGAUUGUAGUACCGCAUGGUACAGCAAUUAAAGGAGCAAUCCGCUAUGAGAUGGGCCUGCGGCGCAUUAGCUAGUUGGUGAGGUAACGGCUCACCAAGGCGACGAUGCGUAGCCGACCUGAGAGGGUGAUCGGCCACAUUGGGACUGAGACACGGCCCAGACUCCUACGGGAGGCAGCAGUGGGGAAUAUUGCACAAUGGGGGAAACCCUGAUGCAGCAACGCCGCGUGAGUGAUGACGGCCUUCGGGUUGUAAAGCUCUGUCUUCAGGGACGAUAAUGACGGUACCUGAGGAGGAAGCCACGGCUAACUACGUGCCAGCCGCCGCAGUAACAC